rnacentral:lncRNA from 1 species
GUUUGCCUAUUUUUCUUUUGCAAUUCUAUGGGCAUGAUUGUUAUAUGCUUCAAAUUAGUAAAAGGCCUAUAGGUAUGAUAUCUAGGUGAUUCAAAUUAGUAAAAGUCCUAUAGGCAUGAUUUCUAAGUGAUUCAAAUUAGCAAAAUUCGUAUAGGCAUGAUAUCUAGGUGAUUCAAAUUAGUAAAAGUCCAAUAGGCAUGAUUUCUAAGUGAUUCAAAUUAGUAAAGGCCUAUAGGCAUGAUUUCUAAGUGAUCCAAAUUAGUAAAAGUCCAAUAGGCAUGAUAUAUACCCCGUUAACAUGCAGAUAACUAAAAGAAACCCUCCACUAACCUUGACUACUAUAUUCCCCAAGUUUCAUAACAAAGUUACUAUUACUGAGGCAAACUAAAUAAAAUACAUCGUAGCCCACAGCUAGAUUGAAACUGCCUAAUGCAAUCUUGAUAUCCAACACACGUGUUUCACCAAGUCCGGAUCCCAGAUUCCAAGGCCUUUCCUUAGAGUGUUUCAAAGUUCCAAGGAGCUUCAAGAGCCCAGGCAAUACUUACACCCUAAAGAGUGAGUGUUGUAACAGAGUAGUGCAAUGUGUGGAAUUACCAGCCCUUAGGCAUCCAAGUUCAAAGAGAAAUCUAGGGUCCCUAAGCAUGGCUUACCAGAGGGGGGUAGAACCUAAGAGCUACGAGUAGGUGUAAAGUGAGAGAGAAACCUCAGCAGGAGGUGGUCAUACCCAGUCAUGCAGGCCUUAGGCAUCCAAGUUCAGAGGGAAGUCUAGGGUCCCUAAACAUGGCUUACAAUAGGGGGGUAGAACUUAAGAGCUAUGAGUAGGUGCAAAGUGAGAGAGAAACUUGAGCAGGAGGUGGUCAUACCCAGUCAUGGCAUAGACUGGCACCCCCCUAACCUGCCACUCAGAUUCAAGCAAAUAAGAGCAGACUCUUAAAGAGUCAAACUCGGGUCUGAAUGAUGAUCAUACAUCAAUAUACCCAAAUUAGAGCUCAGCACAUUGAGGGGAAAGGGAAUGGGAAAGCAGUCGAGUAGAGACUCAUAAGAGUCUAGUCUUGAAUCACAUAUUGCAAUUCAUAGUGCUGCUAUGACCCAGGACAAACUCACAUACAAAGGAAAUAGGGGAAAGGGAUUAACAUGCUUGAAAGUAACUAAAUAGUGCAGGAAAGAAUAAAUGAGCACACAAAGAAAAGGGGUAGAAGCAGAGAAAUUGAAAAAGGAUGCUAUUUAACAUAAAAGAGCAUACCAGUUAUAAAUUCUAGGAUAGCAGACUAACAGCAGCAGAUAGACAGCCAGGAAUAAACAGGAACAAACUCAAGAAACUUUCAAGGGUCUAGGAGUUCAAGUAGCAAGAAGUGCAGGUGUAGAAUGCUCAAUAGAGAAUAGUAAUAGUAGCAGUAAAGAAGAGAGAUGAAUUCUGAUUUUUGUUUGCAGAAAGAAUUCUGUGUUGAAGUGAAAAGAAAAGCAUAUAUUUAUACUCGACAUCAGACAUGCAAGCAAGGAAAGAAAGCUAGUCGAUUAUUAAUCAGGAACCAAUCAGUAGAAGAAGAUUCCCUUAACUAAGGAAUCCAAAAUGUGAACGGAAAAGGGCAGAAGUUAUUUAAGGAAAGGGAAUCAAAUAAACACAUUGUAGACAACAUGCAAAUAAGGGUAAGUACAUGGGGUCUUAAUUAAGGAAAGGGAAUUUUGAAGUACACGGUCAAUUAAAUAAGGCAAGACGUGAAUCAAUUAGCACAUAGUAAAAUCAAGGAAUUAGGAAUUCUCAAAUCACCAAUAAACCAAGUCAGAAAAUAGGGAAUCGAGGGUUCAAAACUAAACAAGGAGAGAAAUCAAUUGAAUUCACACAAGCCAAUCUACAAUCCAUUCCUAAAUUAGAGGUUAUUAUGAGAGGGAACAUAUAACUAUAAAAAGGACCUGAGCUUUAAAACAUGCGAGGUUGAUUCAACCCACAGCAAAGUGUCACGCAACCAAGGAUCAGUGAGUAGAGGGCUAGAGCUAAAAAAUAUUAGAUGGAAUGGAAAAGGUCAGGCAACAGGCUCCGCAAAGUUUAGCAGAAGUCAAGAUCACUUGGAGAAACACAGAUGAAACAACUUCAUGAACUCAAAAAAUAGGGUUCUGGAAACCGAACUAGUUUAGAGAAGAGAAGCAAACAAAUCACAUACAAGCAGUCCGAAAAAAAAACCUAAAUUCUAGGGUUUCUUCCAUUAAUCAAGUGUAGAGAUGAAAGCAAGUAAGUCAGGCAAAGUAAACUCAGAAAAUCCAAAGGAACAUAAACGUUUCUUGAAAACAUAAUGAGAAAAACACAGUAAAAGAAAUCACCAGGAAACCCCAAAAGGAAACACAGUAAAAGAAAACACAUAGAAUUCACGGUAAAAAUACCUAGGAGUUAUAGCAGAGCAAAUACAACGAGAACAUAACGUGAAAAUCACAGUAUAACAAGUAAAAUCAAAGAAACCCUAAGUCUGAAAAGACGAAUAGUUUUGAAAGCAAACAUUUGAAAGAGAUUUUAAGCAGAUCUAGAGAAAUAUAGGUAAAACCUUGACGAGCUAGUGUUUCAGAAAACCCUAGAAGUGAGAAAGGCCUGGAAAAGGGCUGGUCCGAGUCGAACAAGUCAGAGAUAGACACAUACAGCUAGGAUAUGCCGGAUAUAAGCCGGAGAUGGUCGUGGAACUUGAAUCGCCAAAGGUCCAGAUUCAACCCUUCGUGGUCAAGUCAUGGGGCUUCAAUAAUCAAGCGUAAGGAGCCAUAGGAGACUGGUGGGUGGUGAAACCACCAUGGAUUCCGGUCAGAAAGUGGACGGAGAAGAUGAAUGAACUCAUCAGAGAGGAGGGAGGUGGAAGGUUCCAGAAAGAAUGGUAGAUAGAGAGAUAGAGACGAGUGAGGUAAAUGAGGGGGUAUUGGGGGUCGUUUGGUUUAAUUUAGAAAGGGUAGACAAGGACUAUUGAUCUAAAUGAUGAACUGUCGAGAUUAAAUGGG